rnacentral:lncRNA from 1 species
AUAAAGGUUUAUGUUUUUUAAUAGAAGACUUGGCCAGAGUUUGUAGAGCAUAAGUUUGAAAGUGAAAAAAAUCUUUUGUUUUUGAAUAUUUUAGGUUUGGCUGAAAAAUUUCAGAAUCCACAUUACUUUGCUUUGAAAGAAAGAGAUAAGCAUUUGGGUUUUUAAUGGUGACAUCUCUCUGGGGAUUAACUCAUGUGCAUUGUAUGAUGAAAUCCAGAUCUGUGUCUUUUAUUUCUAGGAGAGCAUGGGAACUUUUUUUUUUAAUUACUUGGUCAAAUUACAACCAAAAGCAUAUAGUAUUUGAUGAAUAGCUAAUACAGAUAAUUAACAGAUUAAGAGAAUGUGUGAGCCCAAGCAUGAACAGAGAAGUUGGGAAGGAGGUUAUCAGCAUUAAAACUUUGGAAAUGAACAGGGCAACUGGAGCAUGAAUGUAAUCAAUUUAAUUUGUGGGAACUAUAUAUCCUUGGAAUUAUAUUCUUAUUUCUUACUCCGUAUGACCUAGACUGUAUCCACGUUAAGUAAAGAAUAGCCAUGCCUCAAAUGUCUACCAGUUGGGCUAGUCAAGUUUCUCUAUAAUGAAACCCAUUGCUAUACUGGAUGGAUGGUUCAGUCUUUUUUCCCUCUAAAAGGAAUGCCGUCUAUGGUUUUCAGGGGCACAGAAUAUCAGGCACAGUGAUUUUCAAAGGGCCCAAGGAACACAGAUCGAAACCCUUUUAUGCCAAAUGUGAGGAGAAGCAGAAAUUAGCUCAGCCAUCCUAGGUCUCACAUAGUUUGGAAGUUUAAUGGAGAUGGAUUGUUUGCCUUCCCUUUCUAUACCUGGGAGAGAUUUUAAACCUAGCUGUUCAACCAGCAUUUGGAUGAUGGUACCCCAAAGGGAUUAGAGGUAAAGAUAAAAGGCUAUGGUUGUCAUGGACUUUUCCAAAAGCAGUUUAUCCCCAGGAUGUUUGGUUUAUGUCUGCGAAAGACUAUUGAUUUACCAGCAUGUAGGAAGCAGAUAAUGGAGCCAGAAAAAGGAAAACGAGCCUGAGCUGAAAAUCACUAGCCACCUUCAUGUUUAUUAAUGCUUGGUCUUGACUGUGCCAUGAUGAUGCCUGCCUGGCAUAAACCUGAUCCAGGUUAUUCAACCUUCCUCUACUCACGGGAAAUGCACACAAUUGGCCUUAUAUUAUUUCUAGAAUACAUUGCCCUUUACUACCUUUUGGUGGCCCUAUUCCCAGAUGCAGAUUCCUGGCAUCCUCUUGGUCCAUAACUCUGAGUACUUCAUCUGUAAAUAUAGAGCUUCUGUUACUCUAUAUAAACAUGAUAGCAGCUUUAAAAUGUUAAAAUUCCCAGAUUGAGAGUUCCCAUUGUGGCGCAGCAGAAACAAAUCCGACUAGUAUCCAUGAAGAUGUGGAUUGGAUCCCCGGCCUCUCUCAGUGGCUCGGGAAUCUGGCAUUGCUAUGAGCUGAGGUGAAGGUGGCAGACGUGGCUUGCAUUCUGCAUUGCUGUGGCUGUGAUGUAGGCCAGCAGCUACAGUUCCAAUUUGACCCCUAGCUUGGGAACUUCCAAAUGCCACUGGUGCAGUCCUAAAAAGCAAAUAAAUUAAAUAAAUAAAUAAACAAAUAAAAUUCCCAGAUCACUGAUUGCCACUUGUAAAUUAGUUAAGAACUAAUUAAUUCUUAACUAGUUCACUAGUUAAUUGUGAACUAAAAAGCUUGGGUCAAUUCAAACAACAGAAAACACAUGAGAGGGGAUCAGAUCUUUGAAAUCUGAGUUUUCCUGGUACUUAAAAAAAAAACCCGACAAAAAACCUGUAGCUUCUUAAUACCUUGGUCUCCUCACAGAAGGAAAAUAGUGGUACUUUAGGAACAUACUGUUAGUGGAUUCGCAAGUACGUCUGUAUAUGAAAAUAGGCAUUUCAAAGAUGAAAAAAGCUUAAAUAUUGUGUAGAACAGUCAGAAUUCUCACAAGUAGUUACUAGAAGAUUUAAUUGAAGGGGAUUAUAUUUGCUUGAGAAUGCUGGAACAAGUGCCACUUGUUACUUUUUAGUGCUUUCCUUUGUUUGUUCUAUUUUCCCCCGUGAUUAUCAUAAUUGCUAAUAUAGCAUUCACUCUGAGGGCAACAAGUCUUUUACAAAUCUUAACAAAAUGCCCCAGCACAUGGUUUCAACCAAUGUGUAGGGAUUUAUGGGUUUAAUUUUGGAUAGAAUUAUCACAUGCUCUCUGUAAGGCAACAUAGGCCUUUCCUUUGAAGAAGAGACUCCCUGCAAAGUACCCAAUAUGUGACUUACUCCCAAAAUUAUUUGAGGCAAAACAAAACGCCAACAAGUAAAAUUUAAUGAUUAUUGUCCUAAGGUUCAUUUACCAUAUAAUUUUCAUUAAAUGCAAAUAUUAUCCUUCUGAAAUAAGGCAGUAUUUAAAAUAGACAUUGAAAUAUUAUUAAUGAAAAUGGUAUGUAUUAAAUUUCUAUUUUAGGAAUGAGAAACACUACUUAUAAAUACUUCUUUAUCAUUUUAUUUAUUUUUUAUUAAAAAAAUUUUUUUUAGGGCUGCGCUUGUGGCAUAUGGCGUUUCCCAGGCUAGGGGUAUAAUUGGAGCUACAGCUGCCGGCCUACACCACAGCCACAGCAAUAUGGGAUUGGAGCCACAUCUGCAACCCACACUAUAUAUAGCUCAUGGUAUGACUGGAUCCUUACCCCACUGCACAAGGCCAGAGAUCAAACCCGUGUCCUUAUGGAUACUAGUCGAGUUCGUUACUGCUGAUCCACGAUGGGAACUCCUAUGGGAGUUUCAGGUUCUCGGUUUUUUUGUGUGUGUGUGUGUGUUUUUUGUUUGUUUGUUUGUUUUUUUUUUUGCCACACAGACAGUAUAUGGAAGUUUCUGGGCCAGGGAUCGAACUUACAUCACACAGCAGCAACCAGAGACACAGCAGUGAGAACACAGGAGCUUCUUCAACCUGCUAGGCCCUCAGAGACCUCCUUACUUUAUCAUUUAUGGCUGACAUCUCUGGCUCCUAUUUUUUUCUUUUUUUUGAGGAUUUAAUUUCUAUUUUAUAAAACUAUUGAUAUCAGUAGAAAUUAUGAUGUUUUGAUGAUGAGGACCCUAAAGAAGGGAAGGAAAGACAAGGUUCUGACAUAUCUACGUUUAGGUGGCUCCAAGAACUGGUCAUUACAAUCUGGUUGCAUAGGACUGGGCUGAUUUAGCACAAUUCUUCUUGCCAGGAUAGAGAAUCCAGGCCGACAUGUAGGCAGAUAGGACCAGAGAAACCAUUCUGCUAACUGCAAAUUCAUAGCCACUAAAUUGGAAUUCAGGGAGAGACUCUAUUCAUGCAGAGAGACUGGCCACAUGAAGCUAAAGUCUCAAUUCUGGAGGAAUACAUGCCCUAUGGGUUACUAAGUCUUGAGUGUAGAAAAUAGAACUACAUACAACUGAUCAGAAUUUGGUUAUGAGCACCUCAAUUGAACUAGCUGCCAAGGACACUCACACUGAUUGUGUUUGACCCUACAUUUCGGACUAGGGAUGUUCAUAGUCUUUGUCCAUAAGGUCAGGAUCCUAAACACUGGGGCACAGUUGAGCCUUCAAGUAAUUCUGGUUGUGGGAAGAAGAAAGACUGGGGACAGGUUAGGAUCACCCAGGAAGGACUCUCUUCUCUCCUGGGGAUUCCUUUCAAAUAUAAAAUGGAAUUCAUGACUGCAUGGAUAAAGGGAGUUCUCAUCAUGGCUCAGUGGAAAUGAAUCUGAUGAGCAUCCAAGAGGACGCAGGUUCCAUCCCUGGACUCACUCAGUGGGUUAAGGAUCUGGCAUUGCUGUGAGCUGUGGUGUAGGUCUCAGUUGCAGCUUGGAUCCCACCUCACUGUGGCCGUAGUGUAGGCUGGAAACGAUAGCUCUGAUUAGAUCCCUAACCUGGGAACCUCCAUAUGCCAUGGGUGCCACCCUAAAAAGACCAAAAAAAAAAGACUACAUGGAUAACUUAGGUGCCUCUUGGACAUCUUUUACAAACUCUGGUGAGUCCCAAAGUAAACAUUUAAUAAUGGAAAGAAUGCUACAUCAUUUGCACUACUGGAAUCUUCCAUCUUAAGCAAUAUUGGAAUCUUCUUUUAGAAUGUAGAUGCAUGAAAAACUGACAUAAAAUGAAGUAGCUAGUGUUUGGAAAAAAAAACUUAGAUCCUGUGAGAAAUCUUUAUUAAACCAUAAAGCUGUAUUUAGUCUUCAUUGAGGUAUGAAAACAUGAUGUUAUUAAAAUGCUAAAAUUUUACAUUUUUAUGUGCAGUAUGGUUUGUGUCCUAAGCUGAUUCCCUACCCUUUAUCAAAGAGAAGAAUAGGUAAGUAUACACUUGAUGAUUCUGAUUGUAACCUCCACAGUCUACCUUGAGCUUUCCUAACUACGUUGCCAGUGAAAGUUGUUCACUUGACCAGCAAAUCUAUUGGUGGGAAAUAUAUUUUAUUUUGGCAACAAUAAACUGUGUUACUUCUGUGUGAAUUUUCUUUAGCUACUCUGUCCAUAAAGGUCUUUCAGAUAGGAGCAAUAUCUUUUAACUAUUUCUGUGAAGUUAGGAAGAUAAAGUUUCAUAACUCCACUUUCAGUAUCAGUCUUAUAAUAAUCAUUGGGAAAUAAUUAUUGGGAAAACUGGGUAGCCACAUGCAAAAGAAUGAAACUGGACCACUAUCUUACACCGUACACAUAAAUUAACUUAAAAUGGAUUAAGGGCUUAAAUAUAAGACCUAAAACCAUAAAAAUCCUAGAAGAAAAUAUAGCUGGUAAGCUCCUUGACAUGACUUGGCAAUAAUUUUUUGACUUUCACACCAAAAGUAAAAGAAACAAAAGCACAAAUAAGCAAGUAGGACUACAUCAAGCUAAAAAGCCUCUGCACGGCAAAGGAAAUCAUCAACAAAAUAAAAAAGCAGCCUACUAAAUGUGAGAAAAUAUUUGCAAAUCAUUUACCUAAAGGGUAAUAAAGGGUUAAUAUCAAGCAUACAUAAAGGACUUAUACAACUCAAUAACACAAAAAAAAUAACUCAAUUAAAAAUGGGUAGCAUAUGAUCAAAUAAACAACCUAACCUAUGACCUAAAGAAAUUAGAAAAAAGAACAAAGCGCCAAAUCAGCAGAAGGUAGGAAAUAAUAAAGAUCAGAGAGGAAAUGAAUAAAAUAGAGACACACAUAACACACAAAAAAAGAGGAAAAAUUAAUGAAACCAAGAGUAAUUUCACUUUUAGGUAUUAUCCAAAGAAAUCAAGUACAUAAAUUAGAAAAGAUAUGUGAGCCUCCUUGUUAAUAGCAGUAUUAUUUACAAUAGCCAAGAUAUGGAAACAACCUAAAUGUCCAUUGAUGAAUAAUAAAGAUAUUGUGGGGGCAGUUCCCAUUGUGGCUCAGUGGAAAUGAAUCUGACUAGUAUCCAUGAGGAUGCAGGUUUGAUCCCUGGCCUCACUCAGUAGGUUAAGGAUCUGGCGUUGCUGUGAGCUGUGGUGUAGGCUGGCAGCUGAAGCUCCAAUUUGACCCCUAGCCUGGGAACUUCCAUAUGUCAUGGUUGUGGCCCUCCAAAAUUGUGGGAUUUUUGUGAAGUGGAAUAUUAUUUAGCCACAAAAAAUAAUGAAAAUUUUCCAUUUGCAACAACAUAGAUGCAC